GCCCACAUAGAUCAAUGCUAGAUCAUCUCUCCACAAUAUGGUUCUCGUUCAGUCUGAUACUGAGAGUGAAUCAGAGAAGAUGGAGGUUCGAAUCCUCCUGUGGGCA